ensembl:snoRNA SNORA66 Small nucleolar RNA SNORA66
GUGCAGACUCGACCACUAGCUCUGCCUGAUGUUGCAGGAGUGAGGGGCACCAGGUUUGCUACAGUAAUUGUGGCAAUAGAAAUGGACUGGCCUUGGAUGCUACCAAGGUGGUCUCCUCUGUCACAUUAUUUAA